GAUGAACGCUGGCGGCGUGCUUAAUACAUGCAAGUCGAGCGAACAGACGAGGAGCUUGCUCCUCUGACGUUAGCGGCGGACGGGUGAGUAACACGUGGAUAACCUACCUAUAAGACUGGGAUAACUUCGGGAAACCGGAGCUAAUACCGGAUAACAUGUUGAACCGCAUGGUUCAACAGUGAAAGACGGUCUUGCUGUCACUUAUAGAUGGAUCCGCGCCGCAUUAGCUAGUUGGUAAGGUAACGGCUUACCAAGGCAACGAUGCGUAGCCGACCUGAGAGGGUGAUCGGCCACACUGGAACUGAGACACGGUCCAGACUCCGACGGGAGGCAGCAGUAGGGAAUCUUCCGCAAUGGGCGAAAGCCUGACGGAGCAACGCCGCGUGAGUGAAGAAGGUCUUCGGAUCGUAAAACUCUGUUAUUAGGGAAGAACAAAUGUGUAAGUAACUAUGCACGUCUUGACGGUACCUAAUCAGAAAGCCACGGCUAACUACGUG
rnacentral:rRNA from 1 species